CCCUAGCCCCGAUAGCAGCGGCAUCCUUUGCUUGCCUUCUCUAGGCAAGUAAAGAUAUAGCGAAUAGCGGGAAAUAGC
rnacentral:sRNA from 1 species